rnacentral:snRNA from 1 species
GUGCUCACUUUGGCAGCACAUAUACUAAAAUUGGAACGAUACAGAGAUUAGCAUAGUCCCUGCGCAAGGAUAACACGCAAAUUUGUGAAGCGUUCCAUAUUUUU